AUGGGGUCUUCUUCUCCAUCCAUAGGUCUCCGGGCGGCCGUGACGCUGGUGGAGACCGGAGGUGACCUCCAGAGCCCUGGUGGGUCCCUGACGCUCGUCUGCAAGGCCUCGGGCUUCACCCUCAGCGACUACUACAUGGGAUGGAUGUGACAAGCACCAGGGCAGGGGCUCGAGUACGUCGCACAAAUUGACAGUGAUGGUGGUGGCACCUAAUGACACCAGUGGUGGUACCACCAGAUACGCGGCAUCGGUGCAGGGUCGCUUCACCAUCUCCAGGGACAACUCCCAGAGCACGGUCACGCUGCAGAUGAGCAGCCUCACGACCGAGGACACGGCCACCUACUACUGUGCGAAGGAUGCUUAUGGUGGUAGUGCUGGUAGUGCUGGUGCUUAUGGUGGCACCAAGGCCAUCGCCAUGAGCCAACCCCUUGUGCUGUGUCACUAA